CCUACGGGAGGCAGCAGUGGGGAAUAUUGCACAAUGGGGGAAACCCUGAUGCAGCGACGCCGCGUGAGUGAAGAAGUAUUUCGGUAUGUAAAGCUCUAUCAGCAGGGAAGAAGAUGACAGUACCUGAGUAAGAAGCCCCGGCUAACUACGUGCCAGCAGCCGCGGUAAU
rnacentral:rRNA from 1 species